GAUGAACGCUGGCGGCGUGCCUAAUACAUGCCAGUCGAGCGAACGGACGAGAAGCUUGCUUCUCUGAUGUUAGCGGCGGACGGGUGAGUAACACGUGGAUAACCUACCUAUAAGACUGGGAUAACUUCGGGAAACCGGAGCUAAUACCGGAUGAUAUUUUGAACCGCAUGGUUCAAAAGUGAAAGACGGUCUUGCUGUCACUUAUAGAUGGAUCCGCGCUGCAUUAGCUAGUUGGUAAGGUAACGGCUUACCAAGGCAACGAUGCAUAGCCGACCUGAGAGGGUGAUCGGCCACACUGGAACUGAGACACGGUCCAGACUCCUACGGGAGGCAGCAGUAGGGAAUCUUCCGCAAUGGGCGAAAGCCUGACGGAGCAACGCCGCGUGAGUGAUGAAGGUCUUCGGAUCGUAAAACUCUGUUAUUAGGGAAGAACAUAUGUGUAGGUAACUGUGCACAUCUUGACGGUACCUAAUCAGAAAGCCACGGCUAACUACGUG
rnacentral:rRNA from 1 species